rnacentral:lncRNA from 1 species
AUGAGUCUGGCUAAUGGUUUGUCAAUUUUAUUUAUCCUUUCAAAGAACCAGCUUUUGGCUUUGUUGAUUUUUGCUAUGAUAGAACUACCUUAUGACCCAGCAAUCCCACUUCUGGGCAUACACACCGAGGAAACCAGAAUUGAAAGAGAUACAUGUACCCCAACGUUCAUCGCAGCACUGUUUAUAAUAGCCAGGACAUGGAAACAACCUAGUUGUCCAUCAGCAGGUGAAUGGAUAAGAAAGCUGUGGUACAUACACACAAUGGAGUAUUACUUAGCCAUUAAAAAGAAUACAUUUGAAUCAAUUCUAAUGAGAUGGAUGAAACUGGAGCUGAUUAUACAGAGUGAAGUAAGCCAGAAAGAAAAACACCAAUACAGUAUACUAACACAUAUAUAUGGAAUUUAGAAAGAUGGUAAUGAUAACCCUGUAUGCGAGACAGCAAAAGAGACCCAGAUGUGUAGAGCGAACUUUUGGACUGUGAGGGAGAGGGAGAGGGUGGGAUGAUUUGGGAGAAUGGCAUUGAAACAUGUAUGCUAAGUCAAUUCAGUCAUGUCCGACUCUGUGUGACCCCAUAGACAGAAGCCCACCAGAUUCCUCCAUCCCUGGGAUUCUCCAGGCAAGAACACUGAAGUGGGUUGCCAUUUCCUUCUCCAAUGCAUGAAAGUGAAAAGUGAAAGGGAAGUCACUCAGUCGUGUCUGACUCUUUGCGACCCCAUGGACUGCAGCCUACCAGACUCUUCCAUCCAUGGGAUUUUCCAGGCAAGAAUACUGGAGUGGGGUGCCAUUGCCUUCUCUGUGAAACCUGUAUACCAUCAUGUAAGAAAUGAAUCAGCAGUCUAAGUUCGAUACAGGAUACAGGAUGCUUGGGGCUGGUGCAUGGGGAUGAUCCAGAGAGAUGAUAUGCGGCGGGAGGUGGGAAGAGGGUUCAUGAUUGGAAACUCAUGUACACCCAUGGCAGAUUCAUGUCAAUGUAUGGCAAAACCAAUACAGUAUUGUAAAGUAAAAUAAAGUAAAAAAAAAAAUAAAAUAAAGUAAAAAUAAAAAAAAUAAGAAACUAAGUAACAUUUAAAAAAAAAAAAAAAAACCUCCCUCACCACGAUGAGUCUCCAUCCUUAACUCUUUUGUCUCUCUUUUCACCUUUUAUAUUUUCUUCUACCUCCUUUCGAAGACAAUGGGCUGCCUUUCUGGGUGUCUGGUGUCCUCUGCCAGUGUUCAAAGGUUGUUUUGUGGGAUUUGCUCAGCAUUCAAGUGAUCUUUCGAUGAAUUUGUUGGGGAGAAAGUGGUCUCCCCAUCCUAUUCCUCCAUCAUCUUAGGACCGCCCCUCCUGCAGGUGGGUUCUUUACCACUAGCGCCAUCAGAGAAGUCCUACUGAAGAUCUUUAUAUAAUUUGUAUUUUGUAUAUAUUGGUGAUUCAAAUUUAAAAC